rnacentral:lncRNA from 1 species
GGGGUCCCCCCAGCUCCCCUCCGGUAAGUGCUUAAUGCCAGAAUUCCUGGAAACGGGGAGAAAUGUGGGGGUUCCCGGCAAAAAGGCAGCGCCGAGCGGGCGGCCGGGCGCCCUCGAAGGUUUUCCUGUUCCGGUGCUCGCUCGCGGUGCGAUUUGAGGGAAACGGCCCCGAUUUAGGGUCAGUCCCGGGGAGGUCGGACAAGCGUUGGGUGCUGCUGGAGGGGGCCUCGGGGCGCAGGACGGGUCCUGGGAUGCGUCGGGCCAGGGUGGGCGAGCCUUGGAAUGGUUUGGAAUGCGUUGGGUGAGCCUCGGGCCACCUUGUGGGAGCUUUGGGCCACCUGGCGUGAGCCUUGGGAUGGUUCAGGUUGUGUUGGGGGAGUGUUGGGCCACCUCGUGUGAGCCUUGGGGUGGUUCAGAAUGCGCUGGGUAACGGCUUGGGCUGUGCUCGAUGAGCCUUGGGAUUGUUUGGGCCACGUUGGAUGAGUCUUGGGCCACGUUGGAUGGGCCUUGGGCCACGUUGGAUGAGCCUCGAGGUGGUUUGGGCCACGUUGGCUGGGUCUUGGGCCACGUUGGAUGGGCCUUGAGGUGGUUUGGGCCACGUCGGAUGGGCCUUGGGCCAUGUUGGAUGAGCUUUGGGCCACGCUGGAUGAGCCUUGAGAUGGUUUGGGCCACGCUGGAUGAGCCUUGGGCCACCUCACGGGAGCUUUGGGCCAUCUCGUGUGAGCCUCGGUUGGUUUGGGGCUGCACUGGCCCAACUUGAGCCGUGUCGGACAAGCCUCGGGCCUCGCGGGACCACACAGGAUGAGGCCCAGGCCGCGUUGGACAAGCCUUGGGUUGUGCUGAACCACAGCGGGUGAGCGCGGGGCCGCACUGGACCACAUCGGGUGAGCCUUGGGCCACGUCAGGCCGCACUGGGUGAGCCUUGGACCACCCUGCAUCACGCUGGAGGAGCCUUGGAUGUGGUGGAGGAGCCUCGGGCUGUGCUGGACCACACUGGAUGAGCGUCGGGCCAUGGCAGAUGAACCCUGGGCUGUGCUGGACCACGUAGGAUGAGCGCUGAACCAUACCAGAUGAGUUCUGGGCCACGUAGGAUGAGCC